rnacentral:rRNA from 1 species
UAAUCCUAGUGGCGAACGGGUGAGUAACGCGUGAGUAACCUGCCUCAUACAACGGGAUACCCGAGGGAAACUUCGGUUAAUACGGUAUAAGACCACACUACCGCAUGGUAGAGGGGUAAAAGGGGCAACCUGGUAUGAGAUGGACUCGCGUCGCAUUAGCUAGUUGGUGAGGUAACGGCCCACCAAGGCGACGAUGCGUAGCCGACCUGAGAGGGUGAUCGGCCACAUUGGGACUGAGAUACGGCCCAGACUCCUACGGAAGGCAGCAG